GAGAAUUUUGGGGUUGUCGCUGCUAACGAUGAUUGGGAUCUUGUUUGAUUCGGUUCUCU
rnacentral:tRNA from 1 species